GCAGUGCAAGUGAAUCUUUAAGUUCCAAUUUAGUAUACAUUCCAUUCCAUUCUGAUAUAAACCACGAUGCAUUGCCUAAAGAGAAUACAUGAUCGGCCCCAUAGAAAGUUGAAUAACCUGUGUUAUACUUUUUCCUAAAUUUACUUUUUAUUUUUAUUUAUUUGCUGUUGUUGUCCAAGGUUUAUUGAAGAUAGUGAGCACCAUAAAAAGAUUCAAACAGCCCCACAUGGUGUUUUGAAAUCCAUCCCAUCUGUAGGCUGGGUAACCUACGGUUUGGACAGACCACCCAAGUUCAAAAGUUUCAACAUUUCCUUAGUGUCUGGAUCUACUUCAGCCAUCUCCUGAUCCAAGGCUGAGAACUCAGAUGCCCAAUGGAAAAGGCAGGUGUUACAAAAGAGAGAAGUUGGAGUCUGGAGACAGGGUGUCGUGCAGUCAAAAGAGCUGAAGCCCCUUGACAAGUCCUUGAAACAGACAGAGUGACCUUCCUCGAGGAGUUCAGCUGCCUCCAUGAUGACACUUUGCCAAGGACAAAAGGAAAUCUUAGCCCAGCACCCCAGGAUUCUGCCCCAAGCACUUAAUGACGUCUGAGAAGAGCCAGAUCCCACAUCCCAAACGUGUUCAGGACAUUAGCUUCGAACAAAUCUCGACUGAUGCUGGCAUCUAUACCCCCUACCUUCAGUGAUUUGUGGAAUGACACCUAUCCUUCACCUGGCACUCGCCUUUGAUCGGACCCUACCUGGAUUCCUGAAGGAACACGUACACUAGACCCCUUUCCAAUGUAAACCCGUAAACUCAAGUGAUGACAUGACUCAUUUUCCUUUCCUUCCCAAGUCUUCCAGAUGCUCUGUCUGCUAUUCUCUGUCUGUCACUUCCACUAUUCAAUAAACUGUUUCACUUUC